rnacentral:rRNA from 1 species
UACGGAGGGUGCAAGCGUUAUCCGGAUUUACUGGGUUUAAAGGGUGCGCAGGCGGAUAUGUAAGUCAGUGGUGAAAUCUCUAGGCUUAACCUGGAAAUUGCCGUUGAUACUAUAUAUCUUGAAUGUUGUGGAGGUAAGCAGAAUAUGUCAUGUAGCGGUGAAAUGCUUAGAGAUGACAUAGAAUACCUAUUGCGAAGGCAGCUUACUACGCAGAUAUUGACGCUCAUGCACGAAAGCGUGGGGAUCAAACAGGA